UACGAAGGGGGCUAGCGUUGCUCGGAAUCACUGGGCGUAAAGGGUGCGUAGGCGGGUCUUUAAGUCAGGGGUGAAAUCCUGGAGCUCAACUCCAGAACUGCCUUUGAUACUGGUGAUCUUGAGUCCGUGAGAGGUGAGUGGAACUGCGAGUGUAGAGGUGAAAUUCGUAGAUAUUCGCAAGAACACCAGUGGCGAAGGCGGCUCACUGGCCCGGUACUGACGCUGAGGUGCGAAAGCGUGGGGAGCAAACAGG
rnacentral:rRNA from 1 species